rnacentral:rRNA from 1 species
AGCUUGCUUCGAGGGAAGUGGCGACGGGUGAGUAACACGUGGGUAACCUGCCUUCGGAUGGGGGAUAGCAUUAGGAAACUAGUGGUAAUACCGCAUAACACCGAUUGGUCACAAGACCGCUCGGUCAAAGGCGCUUUCGGGCGUCGUCUGGAGAUGGGCCCGCGGACUAUUAGCUUGUUGGUAGGGUAAUGGCCUACCAAGGCAACGAUGGAUAGCCGGCCUGAGAGGGUGUACGGCCACAUUGGGACUGAGAUACGGCCCAGACUCCUACGGGAGGCAGCAGCUAAGAAUAUUCCGCAAUGGGCGCAAGCCUGACGGAGCGACGCCGCGUGGAGGAUGAAGGCUUUCGGGUUGUAAACUCCUUUUCUUAGGGAAGAAUAAAGUUGGCAGGAAAUGGCCGACCGAUGACGGUACCUAAGGAAUAAGCCCCGGCUAAUUACGUGCCAGCAGCCGCGGUAAUACGUAUGGGGCAAGCGUUGUUCGGAUUCACUGGGCGUAAAGGGCGUGUAGGCGGUGUGGUAAGUCGGAUGUGAAAUCUCCAGGCUCAACCUGGAAACUGCAUUCGAAACUGCCAUGCUUGAGUACCGGAGAGGGAAACGGAAUUCCUGGUGUAGGGGUGAAAUCUGUAGAUAUCAGGAAGAACACCGGUGGCGAAGGCGGUUUCCUGGCCGGAUACUGACGCUGAGGCGCGAAAGCUAGGGGAGCAAACAGGAUUAGAUACCCUGGUAGUCCUAGCUGUAAACGAUGUGCACUAGGUGUAAGUGGUUUCAACCCACUUGUGCCGUAGCUAACGCAUUAUGUGCACCGCCUGGGGAGUAUGCUCGCAAGGGUGAAACUCAAAGGAAUUGACGGGGGCCCGCACAAGCGGUGGAGCAUGUGGUUUAAUUCGAUGAUACGCGAAGAACCUUACCAGGGUUUG